rnacentral:rRNA from 1 species
GUGGGGAAUCUUAGACAAUGGGGGAAACCCUGAUCUAGCCAUGCCGCGUGAUCGAUGAAGGCCUUAGGGUUGUAAAGAUCUUUCAGGUGGGAAGAUAAUGACUGUACCACCAGAAGAAGCCCCGGCUAACUCCGUGCCAGCAGCCGCGGUAAUACGGAGGGGGCUAGCGUGGUUCGGAAUUACUGGGCGUAAAGCGCAGGUAGGCGGAUUGGAAAGUUGGGGGUGAAAUCCCGGGGCUCAACCCCGGAACUGCCUUCAAAACUCCCAGUCUUGAGUUCGAGAGAGGUGAGUGGAAUUCCGAGUGUAUAGGUGAAAUUCGUAGAUAUUCGGAGGAACACCAGUGGCGAAGGCGGCUCACUGGCUCGAUACUGACGCUGAGGUGCGAAAGCGUGGGGAGCAAACAGGAUUAGAAACCCCUGUAGUCC